AUUGAACGCUGGCGGCAGGCCUAACACAUGCAAGUCGAGCGGAUGAAGGGAGCUUGCUCCUGGAUUCAGCGGCGGACGGGUGAGUAAUGCCUAGGAAUCUGCCGGGUAGUGGGGGAUAACGUCCGGAAACGGGCGCUAAUACCGCAUACGUCCGGAGGGAGAAAGUGGGGGAUCUUCGAACCUAAGGCUAUCAGCUGAGCCUAGGUCGGAUUAGCUAGUUGGUGGGGUAAAGGCCUACCAAGGCGACGAUCCGUAACUGGUCUGAGAGGAUGAUCAGUCACACUGGAACUGAGACACGGUCCAGACUCCUACGGGAGGCAGCAGUGGGGAAUAUUGGACAAUGGGCGAAAGCCUGAUCCAGCCAUGCCGCGUGUGUGAAGAAGGUCUUCGGAUUGUAAAGCACUUUAAGUUGGGAGGAAGGGCAGUAAGUUAAUACCUUGCUGUUUUGACGUUACCAACAGAAUAAGCACCGGCUAACUUCGUG
rnacentral:rRNA from 1 species